AACGAACGCUGGCGGCAUGCCUAAUACAUGCAAGUCGAACGAUCCCUUCGGGGAUAGUGGCGCACGGGUGCGUAACGCGUGGGAAUCUGCCCUUGGGUUCGGAAUAACUUCUGGAAACGGAAGCUAAUACCGGAUGAUGACGUAAGUCCAAAGAUUUAUCGCCCAAGGAUGAGCCCGCGUAGGAUUAGCUAGUUGGUGAGGUAAAGGCUCACCAAGGCGACGAUCCUUAGCUGGUCUGAGAGGAUGAUCAGCCACACUGGGACUGAGACACGGCCCAGACUCCUACGGGAGGCAGCAGUAGGGAAUAUUGGACAAUGGGGGAAACCCUGAUCCAGCAAUGCCGCGUGAGUGAUGAAGGCCUUAGGGUUGUAAAGCUCUUUUACCCGGGAUGAUAAUGACAGUACCGGGAGAAUAAGCUCCGGCUAACUCCGUGCCAGCCGCCGCAGUAAAAC
rnacentral:rRNA from 1 species